UCCGUCGGCGUCCUGAUAAGUUUCUUGUUUAAGACCAAGGCUCAACUUUGGAAAAGCAAGAAAAACUAUCAGGAUAGAGUUUGUUCGAGGAAGCUAGAAUUCUUGGUGGAGGGGUGAAAUCCGUAGAUAUCAAGAGGAAUACCAAGCGCGAAGGCAGGCUUCUAGGACAUAACUGACGCUCAGGGACGAAAGUAUGGGUAGCAAAAG
rnacentral:rRNA from 1 species